UAACGAAAGCUUAUAAUCAUUAUUUGUGCAGAAAAAUGAACCAAGGAAAAAAAACUAAAAAAAAAAACAAAUUUGAAAACCAAAAAUGAGAUGCCAAUUGACGCUUUUUAUAGUCAUUUCAGAAUAAAAAUAUCAACUUUUAAGAAACUACACUAUAAACUCGAUCCCUUAUGAAAUAAAUGGACGUUACGGAGUCCCGUUGGAGAAGUAUCCUUAUAUGACAAUUUGAAAGCUUUUCGCGAAGUUAUCGAUCGCUUCAAUAUGUAAACACAGACCCAUAUGCUAUGAGAUGUACUGAUGGGACACGUACAAAAUCCUGAAACCGUUCAAGGAUAGUAUUUGUUACUACAAUAAAAAAUUCAGUUAUAGAACAGAUAAAAUUUCAAAUCUGAAAUUAAUAUGUACUUAAUGCGAUAAUGAUGAUGUGUUUUCCCGGUGGCAUGACGCAGCAGUGUAGUCCGUUAACACACUGGAGCGAAAAACAGCAAAUGGCCUUAUUACGUUUCCAUUCUCUUUUCUAGUUACUUCAUAAUUUUAUAUUGGAACACGAUGGAGUUGCUGACGGCGUGAUUGUUGAAAACUAGAGAUACAAAAUUUAACACCUAUGAACUCCUUAAAAUAAAAAUUUUAAAGUUCACUUUUUAACUCCCCUCCAUCUUGGGCUGAAAUUUUCGUCAGUUAAACAACUUACUAAAGUUAUAACUAUGCUAAUGGUAACGUAGCUAUCCGCGGAUAUCUCCCUGGUCACAAUUUCAAAACAUUUUAAUAAUUCAAUCAUCUCCUUAAUUUUGUUCAGCUCGGAGGCAUUAAACAUGGAGGGUUCUUCUGGGCGAGUGAGCAGUAAAUAAAAUAGGACCUAACUGGACAAAUCUCUCUGACAUAUAAAAACAUGAGUUCCAUCGCGGUCUUUCGACAAGAAUCGUUUUCUUGGUAUUACUUGAAGAAGCCUCGGCGUCUAUUUGUUUCUUCCGUAAUUUAUCAUUGGCUUUAACACCUCUUUUAAUAAACUGGUAGCUGGUUCCGUAGAACGUAAAGAACUAAAUGUUAAACAACAAAAUUCUGUUCAAUAUUUUUGUUAAUUAAAAUUUUUAUAUGUAUGUAUUUUUUGCACAUAUAUUCUAAUAAAAGUUCAUAUAUUUUUAUAUAUA
rnacentral:lncRNA from 1 species